GUGCCAGCCGCCGCGGUAAGACGAACCGUGCGAACGUUGUUCGGAUUCACUGGGCUUAAAGGGCGCGUAGGCGGGUGUCCGAGUCCGGGGUGAAAGCCCGCGGCCCAACCGCGGAAGUGCCUCGGAUACCGGACGCCUCGAGUGGGGUAGGGGCACGCGGAACUUCCGGUGGAGCGGUGAAAUGCGUAGAUAUCGGAAGGAACGCCGGUGGCGAAAGCGGCGUGCUGGACCCCUCCUGACGCUGAGGCGCGAAAGCCAGGGGAGCGAACGGGAUUAGAAACCCGCGUAGUCC
rnacentral:rRNA from 1 species